rnacentral:rRNA from 1 species
CUGUGUGUUGUUGGGUAGGGGAGCGUUCUGUAAGCCUGUGAAGGUGGCCUGUGAGGGUUGCUGGAGGUAUCAGAAGUGCGAAUGCUGACAUAAGUAACGAUAAAGCGGGUGAAAAGCCCGCUCGCCGGAAGACCAAGGGUUCCUGUCCAACGUUAAUCGGGGCAGGGUGAGUCGACCCCUAAGGCGAGGCCGAAAGGCGUAGUCGAUGGGAAACGGGUUAAUAUUCCCGUACUUGGUGUUACUGCGAAGGGGGGACGGAGAAGGCUAUGUUGGCCGGGCGACGGUUGUCCCGGUUUAAGCGUGUAGGUGUGUGUUCCAGGUAAAUCCGGUUCACUUUAACACUGAGGCGUGACGACGAGGCACUACGGUGCUGAAGCAACAAAUGCCCUGCUUCCAGGAAAAGCCUCUAAGCAUCAGGUAACAUCAAAUCGUACCCCAAACCGACACAGGUGGUCAGGUAGAGAAUACCAAGGCGCUUGAGAGAACUCGGGUGAAGGAACUAGGCAAAAUGGUGCCGUAACUUCGGGAGAAGGCACGCUGACACGUAGGUGAAGUGAUUUACUCAUGGAGCUGAAGUCAGUCGAAGAUACCAGCUGGCUGCAACUGUUUAUUAAAAACACAGCACUGUGCAAACACGAAAGUGGACGUAUACGGUGUGACGCCUGCCCGGUGCCGGAAGGUUAAUUGAUGGGGUCAGCGCAAGCGAAGCUCCUGAUCGAAGCCCCGGUAAACGGCGGCCGUAACUAUAACGGUCCUAAGGUAGCGAAAUUCCUUGUCGGGUAAGUUCCGACCUGCACGAAUGGCGUAAUGAUGGCCAGGCUGUCUCCACCCGAGACUCAGUGAAAUUGAACUCGCUGUGAAGAUGCAGUGUACCCGCGGCAAGACGGAAAGACCCCGUGAACCUUUACUAUAGCUUGACACUGAACAUUGAGCCUUGAUGUGUAGGAUAGGUGGGAGGCUUUGAAGUGUGGAC